AUUGAACGCUGGCGGCAGGCCUAACACAUGCAAGUCGAACGAGUGGCGGACGGGUGAGUAAUGUCUGGGAAACUGCCUGAUGGAGGGGGAUAACUACUGGAAACGGUAGCUAAUACCGCAUACCAUCAGAUGUGCCCAGAUGGGAUUAGCUAGUAGGUGGGGUAAUGGCUCACCUAGGCGACGAUCCCUAGCUGGUCUGAGAGGAUGAUCAGCCACACGUGGAGUUAGAAACGGCCCAGACUCCUACGGGAGGCAGCAGUGGGGAAUAUUGCACAAUGGGCGCAAGCCUGAUGCAGCCAUGCCGCGUGUGUGAAGAAGGCCUUAGGGUUGUAAAGCACUUUCAGCGAGGAGGCGUUACUCGCAGAAGAAGCACCGGCUAACUCCGUGCCAGCAGCCGCGGUAAUAC
rnacentral:rRNA from 1 species